UGGGGAAUAUUGGACAAUGGGGGGAACCCUGAUCCAGCCAUGCCGCGUGUGUGAAGAAGGCCUUAUGGUUGUAAAGCACUUUAAGCGAGGAGGAGGGUACUGGUAUUAAUACUACCAGGUACUGGACGUUACUCGCAGAAUAAGCACCGGCUAACUCUGUGCCAGCAGCCGCGGUAAUACAGAGGGUGCGAGCGUUAAUCGGAUUUACUGGGCGUAAAGCGUGCGUAGGCGGCUAAUUGAGUCGGAUGUGAAAUCCCCGAGCUUAACUUGGGAAUUGCAUUCGAUACUGGUUAGCUAGAGUGUGGGCGAGGAUGGUAGAAUUCCAGGUGUAGCGGUGAAAUGCGUAGAGAUCUGGAGGAAUACCGAUGGCGAAGGCAGCCAUCUGGCCUAACACUGACGCUGAGGUACGAAAGCAUGGGGAGCAAACAGG
rnacentral:rRNA from 1 species